rnacentral:lncRNA from 1 species
CUCUUAACUUUCAAAUACUCGACAGACUUUCGAAGUUGAUUUUUCCCUGUUAAUUUGCUCCCGUACUCGUUGGAAGCCGAUGACAGAGAUAGAAAAGAUAUGAAAUAAUGAAGCGGAGCAACAGACACUCAGUAAGAUUACACUGAAAGAGGCAAUUGUAGAAGUCAGGCUAGCUUCAUCGACAGGCCACACCUGCAAGAAUAACGUUUCUGAAAAGCAUACUGGAGAAGGAAAACGAGUGCAGGGGAAUUGCUACAUGUUGGAAGAAACCCAGAAUCCCACGAACAUUGAGGAAGGAAAGUACCGGAGAAUCGCAGCGUGGCAGAAGCGGCGUGAGAAGUCAAAGAAGAGGAAACAGCUAGCUGUGUAAUUUGCUACAGGGGAGUGAAACUGCGCUUGGCAGCGACGCAGUGUGAUCCCG